UCUCUUUUUCUUCUUCUCCUCCCACCCCUUUGGAUACAUGUCUCUGUAACUACUACUGCAUUUUAGGGAACUGUGGCCUGAAACAACAUGCUUAGAAUGGGUUAUUGUAGACUGUAAAUUUCAUAAAAGCAGCAAUCAUUUUAUAAUUUGAAUUCCCACAUUUAACAUUCAUGUAAAUACAAUAAAUAGAUAUCAACUUGUAAUAAUUUCUCAGCAAAUAG
rnacentral:sRNA from 1 species